UUUGGAGGUGAGGACUUCUUGGAGCCCCACCCCUUCGUUUCCCUCCCCCCUCCCCAAGCUCGAGCCUCAGCCGUCCCUCCCUCCCGUCCCCUCCCCCCCUCUGAAGAAGGAGCACGGGGCCCACUGCUACGCCUGAGCUGCCACAAGGCCGUCGGGUGGUGGAGAUCCAGUGCCAACGAGCCACUCAUGUCGGUGUCCCAGGUCUCGGAGCCUCCGGAGUCGCCGUCGCUGUACGGAGACGAGUCGGCGAGGGGAUGAUGGUGUUGGGGUCAGGAGGGGAAAGGCGUCGCCGAUGAUGAUGUGGAGGAGGACGAGGUCGACGCCCCUCUGCCCUGCCGUGAAUCGGUGGCGACUACAGCGUGGGCGUGGUGAAGCGGCGGGCGGCGCGCGCGUCAGUGCCCGUGCGCCCUGACCGGUGCGAACUGCGACUGCGCGUAGGGUACCAGCAACAACUUGCUCAAGCCGCCGGGCGGACUGCCUGCCUGCGGCUACGGCGGAGGCGGGCUGGAAGGGCGUGGUCCUGGCGGUGGUGGGCGUGGUGGGAACGCGUGGGUGCAGCCUGGGAGAGGGCCUGCCGGAGGACCCGGGGAUUACGCCUCGGUGAGGGUGCUGGCACCGGCGCCAGCAUCUGUGGUGAGGAGGGUUGAGUCCGAGGAGGUGGGGGGCUCAUCUGGAUCCGUCGCUAAGGGCUUUCCCCUAUCCUGCUUAACUUAGCAUAUUCUGUUCCUAAGCAAUGUUCAGUACCUUGACGGUUCGUCAAGUAAUCUAGGGAUUUGUGAUGGUGAAUUGAGUCUACACGGUAUGGUUCCACUUGUUUAUGCGAUUGAUCAAGGCGUUCCUUAUCUCUCUGUGCCGAUGGUAUAGCAGGGAACUUCUCAUCGUUGACUAGAAUGAUGGGAGUGCGAUCACUGUAUUUUGUUCGGCCCUUGCAGAUUUGUGCACUAUUCUUCA